rnacentral:lncRNA from 1 species
GCGCUGGCGGAGCCUAGUGGAGGCGCUGAUGGAUGCAACGAAGAAAGGUGCUGCUAACGGAGAGUAGCGGAAGUGUGCCGCUGAUGGAUCUUAGCGGAACCACCGAGGCAUAGCGGGGCUAGCCAUUGCUGUGGGUUCUGGCGACCGUUUACCGCUGCAGCCUGCCGCCGAAGGUUUACGCUGGUGGUUUGCUGCUGCCUGGUGUGCUAGCGCUGGGCAAAGCUCUUACUUGGUGCGGUGCUGCUGGCUGGAGGCCGCUAGUCUUGCUGCCAUUGAUGAAGUUUAGCAGAGGUUCUCAAUGGUUGCCGCUGACGAAGCUCGGCGGAGGAGUUUUUUGGUGGAGUUGCUCAGACGAACUUGGCCUGCGGAGCCUCUGUCUAGCGGUACUCUUGGUGGAGUUUAUUGACGACAAAUGACAGCUAGUGGAGGCUUAGAGUUCAGCGGAGGCUUCGUGCUCAGAGGAGGCUCGACAUGUGAGGUCAGCGGAGACCCAAAGAUCAGCGGGGACAGCAGACGUAGAGUUCGGCGGAGCUCCAAAGAAGGUUGCUUUGAUCAAAUGUUGGGUGUUGAAGCUCGGCGGAUACUCAAAGUGCGGCGGAGACGCUGAGUUAAGCGGAGGCUUUGAAGUCAGUGAAUCCUUAGAGUUUGUCAGCGGAGCUAUGCCGGCGGAGCACUGUGUAGAGGAAGAAGCUUUGCCAGCGGUAUUCUUAGCGGAGCGGUGAAUCCUUAGCUGGCGGAGCUCGUAGGAGCUGCGGUCGCUGGCGGGUCCUCGGAGCUACAGUUGGGCGGAGGAGCGCAGCGGACGUUGCCAGCGAGUUGGGCGGAAGAGAGCCUAGCGGCGUUGUCUGGCGGAGCGGAGAGCAACGAAGAAGUGGGGUGUCCAGAUGAAUUCGCUGGGUGUCCAUAGAGGUUUUGCCGC